rnacentral:rRNA from 1 species
ACCUGACUGCUAUCGGAUUGAUACUAAGCCAUGCGAGUCAUUGUAGCAAUACAAGGCAUACGGCUCAGUAACGCGUAGUCAACCUAACCUAUGGACGGGAAUAACCUCGGGAAACUGAGAAUAAUGCCCGAUAGAACAUUAUGCCUGGAAUGGUUUAUGUUCCAAAUGAUUUAUCGCCAUAGGAUGGGACUGCGGCCUAUCAGUUUGUUGGUGAGGUAAUGGCCCACCAAGACUAUUACAGGUACGGGCUCUGAGAGGAGUAGCCCGGAGAUGGGUACUGAGACAAGGACCCAGGCCCUAUGGGGCGCAGCAGGCGAGAAAACUUUGCAAUGUGCGAAAGCACGACAAGGUUAAUCCGAGUGAUUUCUGCUAAAGAGAUCUUUUGUUAGUUCUAGAAACACUAACGAAUAAGGGGUGGGCAAGUUCUGGUGUCAGCCGCCGCGGUAAAACCAGCACCUCAAGUGGUCAGGAUGAUUAUUGGGCCUAAAGCAUCCGUAGCCGGCUCUGUAAGUUUUCGGUUAAAUCUGUACGCUCAACGUACAGGCUGCCGGGAAUACUGCAGAACUAGGGAGUGGGAGAGGUAGACGGUACUCGGUAGGAAGUGGUAAAAUGCUUUGAUCUAUCGAUGACCACCUGUGGCGAAGGCGGUCUACCAGAACACGUCCGACGGUGAGGGAUGAAAGCUGGGGGAGCAAACCGGAUUAGAUACCCGGGUAGUCCCAGCUGUAAACUAUGCAAACUCAGUGAUGCAUUGGCUUGUGGCCAAUGCAGUGCUGCAGGGAAGCCGUUAAGUUUGCCGCCUGGGAAGUACGUACGCAAGUAUGAAACUUAAAGGAAUUGGCGGGGGAGCACCACAAGGGGUGAAGCCUGCGGUUC